rnacentral:rRNA from 1 species
AAUAUUGCACAAUGGAGGGAACUCUGAUGCAGCCACGCUUCGUGAGUGAAGAAGGUUUUCGGAUGUUAAAACUCUGUCCUUGGGGAAGAAAAAAUGACGGUACCCAAUUAUGAAGCGCGGGCUGACUACGUGCCAGCAGCCGCUGUAAUACGUAGGGGGCGAGCGUUGUCCGGAAUUACUGGGCGUAAAGGGUACGUAGGGUGCUAUAUAAGUCAGGUGUGGAAUACCAGUGAUUAACACUGGAAUUGCGUUUGAAACUGUGUAGCUUAAGUGCAGGAGAGGAAAUUGGAAUUCCUAGUGUAGCGGUGAAAUGAGUAGAGAUUACGAGGUACACCAAUGGCGAGGGCGACUUUCUGGUCUGUAACUGACGCUGAGGUACGAAAGCGUGGGUAGCGAACA